AAACCAUGGUGUGGACACUUCCUCAUUAGUUCCUUAUAUCUUUCCCAUGCUUCAUAUAGUGACUUGUUCUCAUCCUGCAAAAAUGAUGUGAUGUCAUUUCUCACCUC